AGCAGUGAGCAAGCCCUCGCCCAGGGGAGAGUUUUUGUUCCAAAACUGAGUUGCCAAAUAUCCCAAGCCUCAGUUCAACCUUGUUUACUUCUGCUUGUGCAGCAGCUGAGCUUCACUCAGCAUUCAUGCAGGCUGGGGGGUAGUGAGAUUCAGACAUUAGUUCUGCCUGCCUGGAAGAGCCCCUGGGGAUCGCUGUGUCCUUCCAUAAUUAGGCACUGGGUUGUGGAGAACAUGACCACAGAGAGAAUGUGGAAAUGGGAAUGUCCUUGGAAAGGACGUUGCUGUCCACCUGGACACUGAGAUGCCAUUUCCCGUGGCAGGAGCUGAAGCUGCCUGAGCUUUUUCUAGAAGAUCCUCAAUAUAUUAAAUAGCUAUGGCUACAUAUCCUUCUGGGUUUGUAUCUGCAACAUCCACCAUGUGCAGUUGGGUGGUGUCCAUCCCACUGGCCAAAGGAUGAAUCUGCAACUACAGCAGCACCUUUUGCUCAUGGGACUACAGAAGGGAGCAGCUGUGCUGGACAUUUCUUGGCUUUUUCUCAGUGGAGAAGAGACCAAAUCUCGAUUUUAGUGUUUCCGCUGUCUGAGGCAUCUUUGUGAGGUCUGGUGACUGUCAAAAGUUUUCUCCUCUGUUUACUUUGCCCUGAGUUUUUUCACACAAGCCAAAUCUGAGGCUGUUAAUGCAGAGCAAGGAGCCCAUGUUGGUCUGCAGGUCCUUCCAUCCCUGAGGGUUUCAGCGUAAAUGUCUUACAUGUAAAUGGUCGUAAUUCAGUUAAAUUCCAUUACAAGGGGAACAAUCUGCUUUUCUGCAUGAACGGCUUUAUUUCCUAUAAGUUUUGAAGGAAAAAUGGAACAUUUUAAGUAAGUGGUGAAAAGCAUCUGCCUGUUAGGAAGAAAGCGAAGUUGCUUCCAUUUCACAAGAAAUAAUCGCACCCUCAACGUGCCCUUCCUGUUUCCAUCUCGUGGGCCUCUUCUCCUGGAAGAUGCCAGAGGUGUUGUCAAACCAUGAAAAUGCUGAGGAGAAAGUUCUGAAGGUUGGAAAGGAAAGUUAUGCUGGUUUCUCUGAACGUGUUUGUAGCUGGGUCUGUGAGAGCUGGCGAGCAGCUGGGGAGGCUCCAAGCCAUGAUAGCAACAGCUUUACUGGCAUUUGGAGACAAAGUGUUGGAGAGCACUGAUGAGGAGGAUGAAGAAGACAAGGAGAGCAAGGUGGUGUAAAUGCUCCCAUAAUUAAACAGUUAAUAAUGACCAUCAUGUUAAAUUGUCACUGCCUAAUGAAAGUAUGACAGUGUAAUAUGUAACAGGGCAUCAGCAUUGCUGGCUGGACCCUGAGACAGUUUCAUUUCACACAUCCCAAUGAGAACUGUCCAUCAUGCUGUCAAAAGCCUACUCUGGAUAUUUUCCAAGGAGGGAAAUUUGGAAAAAUUUGGGGCUGAAAUGCUGUUGCAGAGCUGCAGCCGGGCAAAAUGGGCAUCCAUGGCAGAGCCUGCAAAUAAAGCAGAUGUUCUGUGGGGAAAUAACUGUUUAAAACUCUUUAAUUUCACCACAUUUUCACCUUUAUUGUCCAGCACUCAUCAUGAU